rnacentral:misc_RNA from 1 species
GAUGAAGAACGUAGCGAAAUGCGAUAAGUAAUGUGAAUUGCAGAAUUCCGUGAAUCAUCGAAUCUUUGAACGCACCUUGCACCCUUUGGCAUUCCGAAGGGUAUGCUCGUUUGAGUGUCAUUGUACUCUCACACUUCCGAUCUUUGGAUUGGGAGCGGUGGACUUGGGUGUUGCUGCUUACUGUGGCUCACCUCAAAUCGAUUCGUGCACCUCUUGGUUGGACAUAGUACGGCGUGAUAAGUGUCUUCGCCGGCACCUCAGUAGAGGGUGGCUGAUCGGGAGCUCUGCUUCAAACCGUCCUCGGACAACAACUGACAACUUGACCUCAAAUCGAGUAGGACUACCCGCUGAACUUAAGCAUAUCAAUAAGCGGAGGA